GAUGAACGCUGGCGGCGUGCCUAAUACAUGCAAGUAGAACGCUGAAGGAAGGAGCUUGCUCUUUCCGGAUGAGUUGCGAACGGGUGAGUAACGCGUAGGUAACCUGCCUGGUAGCGGGGGAUAACUAUUGGAAACGAUAGCUAAUACCGCAUAACAGUAGAUGUUGCAUGAUAUCUACUUAAAAGGUGCAAUUGCACCACUACCAGAUGGACCUGCGUUGUAUUAGCUAGUUGGUGAGGUAACGGCUCACCAAGGCGACGAUACAUAGCCGACCUGAGAGGAUGAGCGGCCACACUGGGACUGAGACACGGCCCAGACUCCUACGGGAGGCAGCAGUAGGGAAUCUUCGGCAAUGGACGGAAGUCUGACCGAGCAACGCCGCGUGAGUGAAGAAGGUUUUCGGGUCGUAAAGCUCUGUUGUAAGAGAAGAACGAGUGUGAGAGUGGAACGUUCACACUGUGACGGUAUCUUACCAGAAAGGGACGGCUAACUACGUG
rnacentral:rRNA from 1 species